UGCAGUGAGUGCAGUGAUCCGAUGAGUACCGGAUUUCAGAUGACCGAGAAGACCUCGGGGUACGUGCACCUCGCGUGUCUUCCUUUUUCGCGCCAUCGUUGCACGUUUAUGAUUUGGUAAUAACUGCAAACCCCUCCACCUUACAAAGAACGAACCACGAAGUGCAAAAUAGAGAUCGAAAGGGCAUAUCUCUCGCUGCUCGGAGCCUCGGGCAGAGGAUAAAUCUGCAAACUGCAAUUCCCUCAGUUUGGCGGAGGCGUCUCUUUGCGUUGUCGAGUAUGUGGGUCUUACCAUGCAACGCCUCUGUUAAUUCUUUACGGCUAUUCAAGCCUUCCAAAGCUUUGGUCUCAGUUCGUUCGAGCUCUCUAAUGUCCGCUCAUCAUCAUCCCUUCGUUCCAGAGGUUGCAGAAGCCGUUGAUUCCUUGUACUCGGACUUCAAAGCUGUGGAUAAUUUGGUGGCGCACAAUUCCGUCCGUGUUCUUAAAGCUUACCAGAAUGCGCGGGUUGGAUCUCAUCACUUUGCAGGAUCCACUGGCUAUGGUCACGAUGAAGCCGGGGGGCGUGAAGCACUUGACAAAGCUUUUGCAGAAAUUGUUGGGGCAGAGUCAGCAAUAGUUCGAUCUCAGUUUUUCUCUGGUACUCAUGCCAUCGCUUGUGCUUUAUUUGCUUUUCUUAGGCCGGGGGAUGAGCUUUUGGCAGUUGCCGGUGCUCCUUAUGACACGUUAGAGGAAGUUCUUGGAAUUAGGGACUCUCAUGGACUUGGUUCUCUUAAAGAUUUUGGGGUGAAAUACCGAGAAGUUCCACUUGCAGAAGAUGGUGGACUUGACUGGAAAGCACUUACAAUUGCUCUGAGACCGCAAACAAAGUGUGCCCUCAUACAGAGGUCUUGUGGUUAUUCAUGGCGCUGUAGUUUGAGUGUAAAUGAGAUAGGGAGAGCAAUAAAGAUAAUCAAGAUGCAGGAUCCAAACUGCUUGGUUAUGGUGGAUAAUUGCUAUGGUGAAUUCGUAGAAAGUAUCGAACCUCCUAUGGUGGGUGCAGAUUUAAUUGCAGGCAGCUUGAUAAAAAAUCCAGGUGGAACUAUCGCACCAUGUGGCGGAUACAUUGCGGGGAGGGAAAAGUGGGUUAAAGCAGCAGCAGCUCGUCUUUCUGCCCCAGGUCUGGGGGUAGAUUGUGGCUCAACCCCUGGGGAUAUAAUGCGGGCAUUUUUUCAGGGCUUGUUCCUUUCACCACAAAUGGUUGGGGAAGCAAUCAAGGGAAGUCUUCUGAUUGCUGAAGUCAUGGCAUCUAGAGGAUAUAAAGUACAGCCACUACCUCGAGUACCCCGCCAUGAUACAGUCCAGGCAGUACAACUUGGAAAGCAUGAGCUUCUACUUGCUUUCUGUGAGGCUGUACAACGAAGCUGCCCAGUGGGUUCUUUUAUCAAACCGGUUGCUGGUUCAACUCCUGGAUAUGCAUCAGAGAAUACUAACGGUUUCCAGAGAAGGGAACAACAUUUGAGGAUCUGAAUCAAGACCCAAAGCAUCACAUUUGGAGAGUUGUUGGUGGAUUUGAAGUUGCCAAAGAUUAAAUUGAAGAUAUUGGUAGAAUAGCACGACCACUAGCUUUGGGAGCCAGUUCACUUUUCUCUGUGAUCUGGUAUCGGUUGGAGAUGAAAGCUGGACCAUUUGAGUCGCCAUUGGGUCCCAUCUCAAGAACUGCUUUCCGCUGGGUGGUACCCACUGGACUCAGUGGGGAUUAGUUCUCGGAGAGGUUUUGAAAUCCGUAUAAUCUUAUGAUGACCCUGGGAGUUGACCCCCAGGUACUGUAUGACCUCAUCCUGACAAUACUACUAUGCUCCUUCGAAAUCUGUGGAAGGCUGUUUGUUGAUUUCAUGAUUGGGGAUGAGAGAGGUUUUCAUUACUGCAAAAGGGAAUUCCAAUAGAGCAUCAAUCUUCAAUUCCAGGUGGUCACAGAUUCAAGUCCACCUCAAUAUUUGUUUCAUGGUAACCAGAUGUUCCUUUUGGAUACCUACUUUUCUGAUCAGCUAGACAUGUUGGACUAAUAGUGUAAACUGUAAAAUGUUAAUGACCAAUUGAGCGAAAAGAACAAAUUGAUUUUGAGAGAGGA